AAAAAGAAGGAAGAGAGGGGACCUAAUUGAGGUGUACAAGAUAAUGAGAGGCAUAGAUAGAGUUGAUAGCCAGAAACGUUUUCCCAGGGCAUAAAUUGUUAACAAGAGGGGUCAUAGUUUUAAGCUGUUUGUAAUAAA